UACGUAAGUGGCGAGCGUUAUCCGGAAUUACUGGGCGUAAAGCGUGCGUAGGCGGUUUAGUGUGUGGGAUUUGAAACCCCGGGGCUCAACUCCGGAUCCGGAUCCCAAACUGCUAGACUCGAGCGUAUCAGAGGAGAGCGGAAUUCCCGGUGUAGCGGUAAUAUGCGUAGAUAUCGAGAGGAACACCGGUGGCGAAGGCGGCGAUCUGGACGAUGACUGACGCUGAGACGCGAAAGCGUGGGGAGCAAACAGG
rnacentral:rRNA from 1 species